rfam:Populus trichocarpa isolate Nisqually-1 chromosome 8, whole genome shotgun sequence.
UAAUCUGUUUUGGGCAGAUUCUCGUUUAGUUAUAGGAGACUCGCAUCUGACUACUUAAAAUCACUCAUUAUUAUGUGAAUAAUAAUUUUUUAAGAUUUUAAUUGGAGU